rnacentral:rRNA from 1 species
GUGAGGAAUAUUGGUCAAUGGGCGCAAGCCUGAACCAGCCAUGCCGCGUGCAGGAAGACGGUCCUAUGGAUUGUAAACUGCUUUUAUUUGGGAAUAAACCUCCUUACGUGUAGGGAGCUGAAGGUACCAAAUGAAUAAGCACCGGCUAACUCCGUGCCAGCAGCCGCGGUAAUACGGAGGGUGCAAGCGUUAUCCGGAAUCAUUGGGUUUAAAGGGUCCGCAGGCGGUCAUAUAAGUCAGUGGUGAAAGCCUACAGCUCAACUGUAGAACUGCCAUUGAUACUGUAUGACUUGAAUUCGAUCGAAGUGGGCGGAAUGUGACAUGUAGCGGUGAAAUGCUUAGAUAUGUCACAGAACACCGAUAGCGAAGGCAGCUCACUAGGUCUGGAUUGACGCUCAGGGACGAAAGCGUGGGGAGCAAACAGGAUUAGAUACCCUAGUAGUCC